GAUGAACGCUAGCGGGAGGCUUAACACAUGCAAGUCGAGGGGCAGCAUAAGGUAGCAAUACUUGAUGGCGACCGGCGCACGGGUGAGUAACGCGUAUGUAACCUGUCCUUAACAGGAGGAUAACCCGGAGAAAUUCGGACUAAUACUGCAUAAAAUUAUAAAUAGGCAUCUAUUAAUAAUUAAAGCUACGGCGGUUAGGGAGGGGCAUGCGUAACAUUAGCUGGUUGGUAGGGUAACGGCCUACCAAGGCAAUGAUGUUUAGGGGACCUGAGAGGGUGACCCCCCACACUGGUACUGAGACACGGACCAGACUCCUACGGGAGGCAGCAGUGAGGAAUAUUGGUCAAUGGGCGGCAGCCUGAACCAGCCAUCCCGCGUGAAGGAAGAAUGCGCUAUGCGUUGUAAACUUCUUUUCAGGGGGAUAAAAUUCUGUAUGUAUACAGGACUGAAGGUACCCUGAGAAUAAGCAUCGGCUAACUCCGUG
rnacentral:rRNA from 1 species